CCGAGUGUAGCUCAGUUGGUAGAGCGAUUGACUGUAGUGUUCUAUACUGUGUUUCAGUAUUCUAUAAAGGCAAUUGGUCGCUGGUUCGAUUCCGGCCACUCGGA
rnacentral:tRNA from 1 species